rnacentral:rRNA from 1 species
GUCUAUGGCCAUGCUACCCUGAACAAGCCCAAUCCCAUCUGAUCUCAGAAGCUAAGCAGGGUCAGGCCUGGUUAGUACUUGGACCACCUAGGAAGACCAGGUGCUGUAGGCA